rnacentral:lncRNA from 1 species
UGUUAGUGGCGGCUCGGCCAUGGUGAUUCUGAUAUAUCUUAUCUAUCGAUCUACACACUUCCACGUUUCACGAUUUUUUGUGAAGAAAUUUUAGGGUCUGGAGGAAGGAGAACGCAAGUGUCGAAUCAGGGAACGAAGAGUCGCUCAAAUGGGAUUAGAGGUUUAUGCGAGGUUUUCCAUGACGAUAACAUCCAGAACUGGAAGAGUGUUGUAGGAAUUCACUUUGGCCGCAAAUAGGGUGUUUAGCCCCUCUCUAAGCUUUUGGUUUUGACAAAUGGGUUCUGUUUUGAAUCGGUAACAACGAACGCAGAACAUGAGAGGAAUAUCGAGCCAAAUGUGAGUCACCAACAUGAGAGGGUGUGAAAACUACAAUGAGUUUAUCCAGUGAGGGAAAUGCAUAUCUACAAGUAAUGAGCAAGGGAGAUAUUGUCAGUCGAAAAGAAGAAAACGUUGAUGCCAAGCAUUCUAAAAGUCCAGAGGAAGCUGUUAACGUCAACGGUACAGGAGAGGAGAUACGAAUGAUACAUUGGAAAAAUUAGUUGAACCUGUUGUUGAAAUCUGUUCAUGGUGAUAAAGCAUAUUCAAUCGCGCAUCAGGUGCAAAAUUCAGCUGAUUUUGAGUCCUGAUCCUGAAUUUGUAGAUAGCCUGGCUAGGAGUUAGUGAAUUGGUAUGUUUGUGUGAUCAACUCUAUCUAGGGAUUAUAUUGGUGGGUUUCCCGCUCAAUUGAUUGGAUCCAUUUUUACGUUUGACCCGACCCUUUAAACUAUAUGACUUAUUCGGUUUUUUUUUCGCUACUUUCUCUCUCUGUUGUUUCAUCAAUUGGAAAACCCUAAACCCAAUCUUCCAUGGAAGACCACUCUAACACUUGAUCCUGUUGAUUGAUGAAAUAGGUUUGAAGACGCCUCUAAUCACCAUUCGAUUUGAUGUAUUCAAAAACCCUAAAUCCGAUCCAAAAUUAGAGACGGCCCUAAUCUCCGAUCAUGUAGCGCUUUCAUUCCAAGUGUUUACGAACAUAAUGUAGCCGAUACUGGUGAGUAUUUCUUGAUUUGUUUUACAUGAAAUAGAAGUUUGUACGGGUAUUUGGCUAAUUCUAGAGUUUAAAGUUUGAUUAUUGAUGUUCAUGUGUGUUUGA